GCUUGGAUGGCGAAACUGGCAGACGCACGGGACUUAAAAUCCCGGGCCUCGUAAGGGGCGUGUGGGUUCGAUUCCCACUCCAAGCACAA
rnacentral:tRNA from 1 species